GCGGUUGUAGCUCAGCUGGUAGAGCACUCGGUUGUGGUCCGAGAGGUCACGGGUUCGAUCCCCGUCAAUCGCC
rnacentral:tRNA from 1 species